rnacentral:rRNA from 1 species
AUGAACGCUAGCUACAGGCUUAACACAUGCAAGUCGAGGGGCAGCAUGAACUUAGCUUGCUAAGUUUGAUGGCGACCGGCGCACGGGUGAGUAACACGUAUCCAACCUGCCGAUGACUCGGGGAUAGCCUUUCGAAAGAAAGAUUAAUACCCGAUGGCAUAGUUCUUCCGCAUGGUAGAACUAUUAAAGAAUUUCGGUCAUCGAUGGGGAUGCGUUCCAUUAGGUUGUUGGCGGGGUAACGGCCCACCAAGCCUUCGAUGGAUAGGGGUUCUGAGAGGAAGGUCCCCCACAUUGGAACUGAGACACGGUCCAAACUCCUACGGGAGGCAGCAGUGAGGAAUAUUGGUCAAUGGACGAGAGUCUGAACCAGCCAAGUAGCGUGAAGGAUGACUGCCCUAUGGGUUGUAAACUUCUUUUAUACGGGAAUAAAGUGAGGCACGUGUGCCUUUUUGUAUGUACCGUAUGAAUAAGGAUCGGCUAACUCCGUGCCAGCAGCCGCGGUAAUACGGAGGAUCCGAGCGUUAUCCGGAUUUAUUGGGUUUAAAGGGAGCGUAGGCGGACGCUUAAGUCAGUUGUGAAAGUUUGCGGCUCAACCGUAAAAUUGCAGUUGAUACUGGGUGUCUUGAGUACAGUAGAGGCAGGCGGAAUUCGUGGUGUAGCGGUGAAAUGCUUAGAUAUCACGAAGAACUCCGAUUGCGAAGGCAGCUUGCUGGACUGUAACUGACGCUGAUGCUCGAAAGUGUGGGUAUCAAACAGGAUUAGAUACCCUGGUAGUCCACACAGUAAACGAUGAAUACUCGCUGUUUGCGAUAUACAGUAAGCGGCCAAGCGAAAGCGUUAAGUAUUCCACCUGGGGAGUACGCCGGCAACGGUGAAACUCAAAGGAAUUGACGGGGGCCCGCACAAGCAGUGGAGUAUGUGGUUUAAUUCGACGCAACGCGAAGAACCUUACCAAGUCUUGACAUCCUGCGACGAUGCUGGAAACAGUAUUUUCCUUCGGGACGCAGAGACAGGUGGUGCAUGGUUGUCGUCAGCUCGUGUCGUGAGAUGUUGGGUUAAGUCCCGCAACGAGCGCAACCCCUGUUUCUAGUUGCCAGCACGUCAAGGUGGGAACUCUAGAAAGACUGCCGUAGAUAAUACGGAGGAAGGUGGGGAUGACGUCAAAUCAGCACGGCCCUUACGUCCGGGGCUACACACGUGUUACAAUGGGGGGUACAGAAGGCAGCUACACGGCGACGUGAUGCUAAUCCCGAAAGCCUCUCUCAGUUCGGAUUGGAGUCUGCAACCCGACUCCAUGAAGCUGGAUUCGCUAGUAAUCGCGCAUCAGCCACGGCGCGGUGAAUACGUUCCCGGGCCUUGUACACACCGCCCGUCAAGCCAUGAAAGCCGGGGGUACCUGAAGUGCGUAACCGCAAGGAGCGCCCUAGGGUAAAACUGGUGAUUGGGGCU